rnacentral:lncRNA from 12 species
CUCCAAGUGAUGAAACCAAAAACUAGGGUUUCAACGUGAAUUUUUGUUAACCUCUUCACCAAACUGAAGAGAUAUGGAAGUCAGCCUAUGAACUGUAUCAACUUGGCUAGAGCUCCUCUCAGUGGCUUUAUUUAGAAUUUCACGUGGCAUUUAUAUACAGAAGUAUUCCUAAUUUUAUGGCUGCACAAAAAUUUAACUCUACAAAUAAAGGAAGAAGGAGAUUUUGAAAAGCAACUACCUAGGUUCAUUUGCAUAUUUGAAAGAUUCUAAAACCAGGCUACUUAAAAUAAUAUGAAAUAACCACAUUCUCCCAGUUAACCAAUCAUGAUUCCAAUUCUUUUACAUGGAAGAUACCGAAACAAAGCUUUGUAUUGUUUUCAAAGUAUCUCUAAGAGGGUAAAGUAAGGCUGUGAAAGCUAAUAGACCAAUAUAGUAGUACAUUGUAACUUUUAUUUCAUGCCUGUGUUUUCAUAGGAAAUUGUGUUGGAGGUGUGGAAGUGAAUGUAUAACUCAUAACAACACAUGUUUGUUUUCUCUUUUUUCAGCAGUUGAUGUGAAAUUAAAUUUCUUAUAUAGUAUCCACUCAAAAACAUGCCAGACAACAAUGCCAAUAAAGAAGAAAGUAGAUGAAGAACAACUUUAGAGUGAAGAAACCUGACAAACAUUUCCUCAGCCGGUGAUCACGUCAACAACAGUGAUCAACCAAGUUGAUGGUAUGCACUCUUGAUGUGAUGAAAAUAGUACUCUAACUCUGCUAUGACUCAGAAGAAUACAUAACCCCUUCUGAUAAGAGAGGCACAUCAGGCAAAUCCUAGUUGGGAGACAUUUUACAAAAGACCUCACCAGUAUUCCUGAAAACUGUCAAGAUCAUCAGAAACAAGAGGAGUACGUGAAAUUAGCAUAGCCAGGAUGAACCUAAGAAGACAUGAUAAGUCAACAAGAUCCUGGAACAGAAAAGGAUGUUAAGUGAAAAGUCUGGAAAAAAUGGGCUUAGGUUAAUAAGAAGGUGUUAGUAUUAGUUCAUUAAUUGUGACAAGAGUAGCGUAUUAAUGCAGUAAGGGAAACUGGGUGUGGAAUAUGUGGGGACUCUACUUGACAAUUUUUAUGUAAAUCUAAAUUGUUGUAGAAUAAAAAGUUUGUAUUUUUUU